UUAAAACAUUUUUAAAGUGUUAGAAAAUAAACCAUUUAAAACCUAAAUGUUAAAUAAAUGUUUUAUAAACAUGUAAAAGUUAACGUCUAUCACUGCGCGUCAUAAGCCCGCUGAUGACGAAAUUUUUUAAAACACCAAAAUUUUAUUUGCGUACCUUUGUGGCGUAGAUACUGACAAUCCUUACAAAAAACAUUUUAAAUACUUUGUUAUAUAUUUUCUUAUUACUAGGUUUGAUAUUCUAAAAUCAUUCGCAGUUUAUAAAACAUCUAUGCUACGUAACUAAAUAUUUCCUAUUCACGUUAAUGCGUGUACUCCCAUGAUUCCACGCGGCGCGAAAUUCUUCUGCUUACGACAAGCGUGCUUUGCGAAAAACAUUGGGUUGUAAAACGCUUAUAUACCGUGUUCUAGUACAACACAGAUUUAAUGUAUGCUUAUUAGGUGUGAUUUGUCAAACAAAGUUUUCGUUUUGAAUAGUGCGCUCGUACAUAAUCUAAGACGUUAAGGCAACUGAUGUCCAAAUCAUGUCGUCCUACUGGACGAAGCGGAGUAAAUAAAAUUGUUGAAGCAGAGUUGGCGGAACCGAAAGAAAAAGACAGAUCCGAUACAAACAAUGGAGUCACACAAAUAUGGCAGCAGACUUGCCACCAAGUAAGGUGACAAAACAUGUGAAGGAGGGAACUCUGCCAGACAGAUCAGAAGCCUCUCUUGUGUGGGUGGUACGGAUGCAAAGGAUUGUCUAAAAAGGAUCAUGCGGCGAAUCUUGGCCGACAAGGUUUUAUAACUAAAGGCCAAAGAGGAGAAAAGUGUGCAUUCAAGGGGCUUUCAAAGGUGCAGACCAUGAUAUGCAAAGCAGUACAGAAGAACAAUGGGUGCAUGGAGGCUUCAGAUAAUAUCAUCGAAGAAAGCAGCAGCAGAAAGAGUCGGGGUAGAAAGCAGAGGAGAGAACGAAACUAAAUGCUAGCAUUUUUCAAGGAAGUGACAACUGUGUUUCUGUGCCCUGUGAAUUUACUGGAAUAUUAUGGCAGAAUUGUGUAGCUACGUUUCCUCGUUGGGCUUUGGCAAAAAGAGACUUCCAAGAAAUUGAAAGUAAAAACUGUGACAUCGUUAUUAUCCUCAUCUUCAAUUAAGGCCAGGCACCUGAGGUAAAAACUUUUUAAGUUAUUUAAAUAUGGCAGAUAGGCAUCAAAAUUAACUCUUUGAUUAUUUAUUACUAGAAUAGUAAUACAUGUAUCUCAGAAAAUAGAGAAGACCGAAGAUUCAUAAAUAAUACCUCUUUCCGACCGUACAUAAGAAAACCUAACGCAUUGAUGACGAUCACUUAGGUCCUUACAAAUGCAUGAAAGGUCCUUACCUGGCACCAUCCCUGAUUCCUGGGAAGUACAGCACCAACACGAUAUCCCUAUUCUUAGUUAUCAUAGGACAAACUGAUCCAUGUUCUAAAUAAAUUUCUUAAAGCCUCUUUACAAGAAGUACAUGAACCUUGUUCAGCUUUGCUUUACAGAGUUUUGUAACACUAAAAAGCCUGGUUAAUUGGAAUAUGUCUAUUGUAUAAGGAUAGAGAUUUGAAUGUUGUUAUCUACAGAGGGAUAUAACCAUAUUUUUGUGUAUUUUGUGCAUCAUUCAAAUGUACAUUUGCAUUUCACUCUUUUUUAUAGUAAAUCUAAAGUUCUAUUUAAUUUUAGUUUAAUUAUUCCUUGCGACUCCCAAUGGAGCACGGGGCCCCAACACCUCUCCUUUAAUCAUUUGAAAUUGAAAUAUUUAAAAGUCUGUUCAUUUAAGAAAAUUCCUUUGCUUUCAUUUAUCACUGUUUAAUUAAUUCCUAUACUUUUUUCUCUUUUUUUUUUUUUUUUUUGAGUAUCAUU